AGCGAACAUUGGCGGUAGGCUUAACACAUGCAAGUCGAGCGAGGCGUAAUAGUCGAGCGGCGAACGGGUGAGUAAUACAUGGGAAUCUACCUUGGAGUGGGGGAUAACAGCCAGAAAUGGCUGCUAAUACCGCAUAAUCCCGAGAGGGGAAAGCGCGCUGCGCUCCAAGAUGAGCCCAUGGCUGAUUAGCUAGUUGGUGGGGUAAAGGCCUACCAAGGCGACGAUCAGUAGCUGGUCUGAGAGGAUGAUCAGCCACACUGGAACUGAGACACGGUCCAGACUCCUACGGGAGGCAGCAGUGGGGAAUCUUGCGCAAUGGGGGCAACCCUGACGCAGCCAUACCGCGUGUGCGAUGAAGGUCUUCGGAUUGUAAAGCACUUUCUGUAGGGACGACGAUGACGGUACCUACAGAAGAAGUCACGGCUAACUUCGUGCCAGCCGCCGCCGUAA
rnacentral:rRNA from 1 species